ACCUCAUUUCAAGAUGGCUGCUACCUACAUAACGAAAUAAACACUGAAUACGUUGAUACACACCGAAAACUGUGACUCCACAGAUCAUGUGGAUAUCUUAUUUGUCAGCCUGUGACCUACCGUUAUUGAUCACCAGCCCCGACAGUCAAAAUGUUUUUACAAAACGUUUACAUCAAACAGCAAACAUCUUACAAGCCAAAGCUCCUGUCUAGGCUGAGGCUCUCUACCCUCCAUCCCUCCAUCCCCAGCAAGUCCAGAUUCAGGCGGUCUGCUCUGCUGUGCUAUUGAGGGGAUGAACAUGGAUUAUCCCUGGCCCGGCCAGCCCAUCAGGCCAGCCAAAGUGGGAGGCAUGGGGAGAAGCAGUGCUAAAGAGUGUCUAUGGAACUUCAUCCAGCAAUAUCAUCGAGUAACAUCUUGUCAGUGGCCUGACCUGAACCCAUCUGCUCCCAUCUGCUUGACAAAUUUGACUAUACAAAAUAGGGAGUUUGAAUGAGGAUACAGCAGUUUCCGGAAGUGUGUGGGUGGAAUUUGUGUCUGAGCUCACUCACACACACACACACACACACACACAC